UACGAGGGGGGCUAGCGUUGCUCGGAAUCACUGGGCGUAAAGGGUGCGUAGGCGGCCGAUUAAGUCUGGGGUGAAAGCCCGUUGCUCAACAACGGAACUGCCCUGGAAACUGGUCGGCUUGAGUACAGACGAGGGUGGCGGAAUGGAUGGUGUAGCGGUGAAAUGCAUAGAUACCAUCCAGAACCCCCGAUUGCGAAGGCAGCUGCCU
rnacentral:rRNA from 1 species